AGUGAGAGCAGACAGCACAGAGGUGGCACGGUGGUCCAUCCAUUCCCUGGCUCUGGUAUGGGGCAUUCAGCCUUUGGGUAGUCAUCAGCUUCUAUAGAGGGACUCUAUCUCAAUAACAGCCUGAGGAGGUACCAGGGCAGCCCUAAAGCAUAGCUUCAAACCGUCCGAUUGCUUCCUGCAGGACUGUAACCUCUGUGGCUGGAGCUUAUUGGCACGAAGGCGAUAGUGACACAGAAAGGGAGACACAAACAUUCCAUUUUAGUGGGUUUCUUGGAAGAGGAUGCAGGGUUUAGGUAAUCUGCCAAUAAAACCCACUCAGAAAAAAAAGGGGUUGAGAUACCUAUCUGCAGGGUGGCACGCUUUGGAUUUGUUGUUCAGUGAAUCCAGAUCAAGCAAUUGUUUUAGUAUCAGACUCAAAGCUGUCCCAGCCUUGCAUUUUUUAUCUUGGUAUGAGUCAUUACAAAAAUGCAGAGUUCACCCACACGUUGGGGUUCACGGAGAUCUAAUACGUUGUGAAGAACGAGACAAAUGGUUCUGUUUCUCUGUAUCGUGGGAAUCUUCCCAUUCCAUGACUACGAACAGAGUGUGAAUGUUUGUCUUAUGAAAGAUACAUGGGUAGAAUAUAUUUAAAUGAAUUCCAGUGGAACCAGAAGAAAUCAUGGUUUGGGUACGAAGACAUCAACUGUGCGGGAAACUGAAGAGCUGCUCAUGCCUCACCUCAGUUAUUUCUAUGGGGGAGCCCUCAGGCUUCCUAGUACUCUCUCAGAUAUGGCCUUCAAAAAACCCCUCCUCCUGCAGCAGAGCCAAAUGAAGCUGAGUGCAGCAUCUGCUGGGAGCUGCAGGCACUGCUCCAGAAGAAGCAUCGCCAUUAAGUUUCGAGAGGCUCUGAAGAUGUACCACGUUUGUGAUCCCCAUUAGCUCAACAUCCCACUUCUAAAACAGAAUGUUUAUAUAUAUGGACAACAUUGAUGCGUUAUUUAGCUAAGGGAAAGUACAGUGUAAAGACAGCUUUCCUCCUAGGCAGUUAAAAAUGUUUGUGUGUGCUGCUGAGUGUUCAGACCUGGAAAUUUCAUGCAACUUAAUGGGUAUUGGAACCCUUUAUUUUCCUCUAGCAUUUAUCCGACUCUCUUCUAGCAAUAAGCUAAAAAAAAGGUUCCAUACUCUUGGUAUAUUUUGAAGCUGUUCAAAGGCCAAGUUUUGCUAUGUAAGGUCUGUUCCAAAGUCUCUGUAUCUCCCAGCAGAAUUUCUUCCUGCUCAGGCCCCAUUUACCUAUACAUGUGCAUCUCUGGAGGAUGUUUGUUCACUUCUGGAUGCUGACCCACUCUGCCCUGCAAUGUGGGCAACAGGAAGGCUUUACGUGAGUGCAGCAGCCAUUCAGAGCUCUGUGGUUUGUGUUUUACAGGAACAAGGAGGACCCAUAGGGCAGCAUUUCUUGUCUCAGGCUGCUAUUUUCUGAAGGAAAGCUAUUUUGGUUUGGUCCCAAUAUAGAGGGAAAGGAUCACCAUAGAAGCCCACAUUGUGGAAACUGAAAUAAAUCUGAUGGAGUUUUAUUUAGCCUAAAAAAAAACCCCAAACCUCUGCAUGGAGCUGGCAUAGAACAUUUCAGAGAACUAAAAGCAAUCCAUUAACAACAGCAGAGAAAGGUUUCACUUAAGUGAUUUCUCUUGGGUUAGGGGGAAGGGCUCUGGGCUGGGCUCUUACCCCUUAUCUCUGAAGGCACUUCAAGGUUAUGGAAAUAUCUGCAGCUGAAGCUGCAUUAGGAGAUAGCAGCUGAGAGCAUUGUGUCAGCACCUGCAGAAGCCAUCCUUAUCUUUAAGUCCUGUACACACAUGCACACGCUUUUUGUUGCUCCAGCCACUCAGAACAAGCACAAGGUACACCCCAAGUGGCUGUUCCUCCUUUUGCAGGAAGCCAAACUGUAACUACAAGCACACAGUGGGGAUUUCCCCAGGUUCUGCAGCAGCCUGCUGGCUUCUUCCAUCAUUUCAGAGACUGACCUUCCCACCCAGCAUCAUUGUCUGUGAGGGCCAGUAAGGAGCACAUCCAUGCAGCUUAUAGCAGUGGCACCAUGUGUCUGUGCCCAGGAAACCACCAGAGAGCCAUCAUAAUGCUGAUGGUGCUCCGCCUUUGACAGCCAUCAACUGCUCCUACACUCCCUCACAGCGGUUCCACCCAGGACCCAUCCUACAAAUGCUUUCACACCGAUACCUAUUACACUUCCUUAUCCAUUAAAACCUAUCAGCCG
rnacentral:lncRNA from 7 species